CACCCAAAUUAAUUUCUACUCUUGACCCGUGGUGUUUGGAACUCUCCUCCUCUGAAUAAUCAUUUUUCAGACUUGCAUCUAAUCCUCCAGCAUGUUCUACGGCUUCUGAAAUCUCCACCCUCAGCUCUUCAUGCUUCUCUUUUAACUCUGUUGAGUUAAUAGCCGCUGAGAGCCUCUGCUUUAUUUGUUGUUCUAAAGCCUCAAU
rnacentral:misc_RNA from 1 species